CUCCUUCCACUCCCGUUUCUUGGGCCGCCAGAUUUCCAUUUCUUUCAGCACACCACUGUGGCCCUGAGAGAAUGUGAACCCAACUGGGCUCCCUGCAGAAGCACUUUGCAUGACCCCACCCAGCAUCACUGCCAGGUUCUCAUUAGUUCUGGCGAUGGAACCCCAACUUUUGGCCAGCUCCUACUGUGUUCUGAGAAGCAUUACAGAAACAAGAUUAAAUCGAGAACAAAGCAGAAGAGGUCUAUGGGUUAUAGAGCAUCUAUACCAUGCCGAUCGUGGUGCAAAACAGCUUUACGUAUGUUACCUGAUUCAACGAGAUCCGUGUUACUGCUUCCAGCUCUCCUUUGCAAAAGCUGAAUCCAAGACAGUCGGCAUAACUUGCCCAAGGUCACUCAGGACAGCUGGAGGAAAACAGGCUGACCAAUCUCUCCGUAAGAAAGUUGAGUUAGGGGAUGGGCAGCUCACAUGUCCUGCUAUCACAUCGGAUGGCCUUCAUGGGACCCACAUCUGUGAGAAGGAGCUGGGGCAAGACACACAAAGGAGCAGGACAACCCCAGAUGCUGCAGAGCACGGAGCCCUCUCCGGGACUCCCAAAGCCAAACACAGCCUGUGCACAGUGGACCUAAGCUAAGUGGGGAGCCCAAGCACAAACACGGAAACAAGCACAGACAACAAAAAAGUGCUGGAAGCCACGAGAUGAGGAAAGAGGUGCAAGUUUAGAACUUGGAAAAACCUUACAGCACACCAAAGUGAAGAGGCAAGGCCUUGGUCCUUACCUACAAUGUGGGAUAGAGCUCUUGAAGGUGUUGGACCAGUUCACGUAAACACAGCAUAUUAGGAAACCACGGGGAAAACAUUUGCCUGGACGUUGGCAAGGUGGGGAGUGACCGGAUUAUUGGAACUUUUAAAUGUAGCCUCCGCUCCACACCUUUCUUUGUCAGGACUAAUAAAUUACAAUGGUUAGGCUUCGGAGUGGCUGUAGUGAUGUUACUGAAAGUUCGGUGUUUCCUAGAAAUCUUUCCCACCCGGAAUUACAAAGAUGACACUUCUGCCUUUAGCAGGACUUCAAAGCUUUUAGCAAACUGCUAUAGAUUAAAUGUUUAUGUCUCCUCAAAUUUAUAUGUUGAACUCUAACCUCAAUGUGAUGGUAUUUGGAGGUGGGGCAUUUGGGAGGUGAAUAGGUCAUGAGGGUGGCACCCUCCUGAAUAAGAUUAGUCCCCUUAUAAGAAGAGACCACACAGAGCUCCCUCACCUCCUGUUGUCAUAUGAAGAUGCAGAGAGAAGAUGGCUAUCAGUGAACCAGGAAGCAGGUCCUCACCAGACAUUGCAGCUACCAACGCCUUGAUCUUGGACCUCCCAGCCUUCA